rnacentral:rRNA from 1 species
UCGAGGAUCUUUGGCAAUGGGCGCAAGCCUGACCAAGCGACGCCGCGUGUGCGAUGAAGGCCUUCGGGUUGUAAAGCACUGUCGAGGGGGAGUAAGACCCGCAAGGGUUUGAACUAUCCCUGGAGGAAGCACGGGCUAAGUUCGUGCCAGCAGCCGCGGUAAGACGAACCGUGCGAACGUUGUUCGGAAUCACUGGGCUUAAAGGGCGCGUAGGCGGGUUCGCAAGUCUGUGGUGAAAGCCUCCAGCUUAACUGGAGAAGUGCCAUGGAUACUGCGCAUCUUGAGGAGGGUAGGGGCGUCUGGAACGGUCGGUGGAGCGGUGAAAUGCGUUGAUAUCGACCGGAACUCCGGUGGCGAAGGCGAGGCGCUGGACCCUUUCUGACGCUGAGGCGCGAAAGCCAGGGGAGCAAACGG